rnacentral:piRNA from 1 species
CUGGUGAAGAGAAACUGAAAAGAAGAAA